AAUAAUGGGGGAAACCAGGGGGCAUAGGGUAUGAUUAUUAGUAACAAUACUUUGGAUUUGCACAAACUCACUCUCAAUGAACCCUAGGCGGUUCCUACACAUUAGCUCAUUUUUCCUCACCACAGCUGGGCCGGGAGACCUAGAUUCUAUUCUUGGUGCUUCAACAACCUUCUUGGGAAAAGUAUUUAGCCACUAAUUGCCUCAGUUCCCAACUAUGAAAAGGGAAUAAUGAUAUUAGGAUAUUUGCCUCUCCCUGUCUUUAUCCUAGACCUUUAGAACCUAACUAGUAAAAAAAAAAAAAUGUUUUUAAUCUGAAGAGCCUAAAAAGUCUAAAAGAGAAGGAGUGUGGCUUGAUUUUAUUUCCAUUAAUGAAAAGGUGAGAUACAGUGUUAGGAGUUUGACUGGAAACCUUGAAAUCUGAAUUGUAAUCCAGUAUCUGCUUCAUGAUAGACCAUUGCCUUGGAUACCUCUCUCCUUUAUAUUGGAAAGCACUUAGCGAUCCAGCAAUGGUGAAUACUAUAAAAGGGGACUGAUCUUCUAAGGAGCAUUAAUUUGGUCAGCAAAGAUGUCUCUAUGAACCAUGGCAUCAAUAAGACUGAAUUUAAGAUGAGAACACUCUUGGCUUCCAAAGCCUUCCCCUCCCCCCACCUCUCUCCUUCUCCUCACAACCUCCUGGCUAUGUAGCUGUUUCAAAUAUAUAGACAAAUAACUCCAGCCCAAGUCCCUGGCCUAUAUCUUUGGUCUCCUAUCAUCUCUAGACUCUUGGCCUGGCAAUCUCCAUCUUCAAAAGUUCCAGGGGCAGAAAUAAGCCUUUUUGCUUGCCAGCCUAAACCUAAUGACUGAAUGGCAGGGAACCUAGACCAAAAUAGAACUUGGCUCUUAGAUGAUAUGCGUCAGCCAAGAAUAAUGCUUCUUUUUUAAUGUCAGGCUCCAUUCUAUUAGUGCACAGGUAAUAGGGAUCUCAUCCUUUAGGAGGGCCUUGAUUUUCUCUAUUUUUCACUCUCAGUUUACCCACUUAUUGUAUAGGAGUGAAAGCUUCUCUCUUUUACCUGCCUACAUCCAAAAGGCUAUUGAAAUGUACUACUUACAAAUUGGUCAAGUCAGACCCCAAGGCAGUGGGCCAUAGAGUACCUUCCAGAGGGCUUCAUAGACAACAUGGGCUCGUCAGAUAAGUGACAGUCCUUGUAUGGAGUUAAUCUAGAAGCCAAGAAAAGUCCUCUGAAGCUCACCCAAUGAAGCAUAAGGAGGCAACAGAAUUAGUAUACAUAUUCAUAUCAAAAAAUAUUAUUAAAUAAUAUGCUGAAGACUUCUCUCACCAUUGAUUUCCCCUACUAUCCUAAAAGGCUAAGGAAAGCGAAAUAAUUUUUUUUUCUUUUUUACUAGGCAAAAAUUCAAGUCUUUAGCCUGACAUUACUUAACCUGACACUUGGAACUCUUACAGAUUUGGGGUAUAAAAUCUGCCAGAUGACUCCUUUGGAGACCACUGGAGCUUCAGACUGCUUGCACCAAACGCUGCUCCCUACUGGCUCAAAGUCUCGUUGCUUCAGGAAAAUGGUUUUGCUGAUCAAUGCAGAAGGAAGCUUCGUCUUCCUCCCCUUCCUGGGAAUAUCUUUUUGUCAGUUAAUGAGGGACUCUUGCUGAGGGAAUUUAGGUCGUUCCCAUCUAAAGUAUGUUUAGAGUUUGGGGGCUGGAGUCAGGGGGACUGUGGUUAUGCAUCCAGCUGUCCCUUGAGAGUCACGGUCAGCCACCAAGGAUGCAUCUUUAGAAACUUGAGUGGUGUCAAAACUCUGAAUGUGCAUCAAUGCCUGUCAAAGGACGGAUUGAGCGCCAUCAUAUUCUCCCUGCCCGCCCCUAUUGCCCGGAUGAGGUCUCGGAUGGAAGCUAGCCUGCCAAGGAUACCACUUGUACACGCUUCAGUACUCUUUCCUUAGGCAAAUAAGGACUUGUGUAACCUUUUUUCAGAAUACAUAUUAUGAAACUCUGGAGCCUUUCGGUCAUAUGGUCACGAACGAUUUCUAGCUUCUCAACCUCUUUUUUUCUGAAAUGAGGGCAUCUGAGCUCGGUUGCUUAUCUCAGAUCUGGACUUACCCACACACUUUAAAGUGCAAGAGAUCUCCCUCCCUCCCUGCGUGUAGCCCAGAAUAGGCCUUUACAGCCACGUCAUCCUGGACACUUUAUCACUUGAUAUUACCUCCUAAUCCACAGAUCAGUGAGAUUUCAGACAGAAUCUGUCUGGCUCUCAAACAGAAACAGCAUGACUUCAGAACAUUUAGAAUGAAUUAAGCAGACCAAUUUGUUAUUUUUCAGAAACACAAAGGUGGCUAUAAGUGGGACCUCAGCCAGAGUAUGGUCUUAGAAAAUAAGGUUGCAGUUCAUCCUUUAUUAAAUGUUAUUUUAUGUGGCAUCGUACUAAGCGUUCUUCCAAGGGUUAUUUAGACAUGAGCUCUGAUCACUCAAAAAGUUACAAUCAAAGCCACAUCAGCAUAAAGGUUUAUUAAAAACUUUUGCUAUGGGGGUACCUGGGUGGCUCAGUCCAUUCGUUAGGCAUCCAACUUCGGCUCGGGUCAUGAUCUCAUGGUUUGGUUUGUGGGGUCAUGCCCCACGUAGGGCUCUGUGCUGAUGGCUCAGAGCCUGGAACCUGCUUCGGAUUCUGUGUCUUCUUCUCUCUCUGCCCCUCUCCCGCUCGCACUCUGUCUCUCUCUGCCUCUCAAAAAUAAAUAAAUGUUAAAAAAAAAAACUUUUGCUAUAUACCAGGUGCUGAGCUAUAUACCAGAAACACAAUAGCAAUCAUGUGACAACCACCCUCCGCGUUCAUCUUGGAAUUUGGAGCUAGAGACAACAUAGUCUAUGGAUAGUGCCAACACCAGAACAUCGAGUUCUUUCCUCUAGCUAACGGACUUAUACUGCCGAGCACAGUGCCUGACAUACAGUCAAGUACUCAAUAAAUAUUCCUUGGCUAAAAUGAGCUAAUGAAAAGAAUGAAUACAUGUUAAAGUGGAGUAAGUAUAGACUGCUAUGGAAACCACAUCGGAGGAGAAACCAGGCUCGUGGGAGGGGAUGAACUGUGUGGAAAGUGUCAUUUACACAGAGACAAGAGUCAACACAAUGAUAUAAAGGAAAGACCGGGCUCAUGGAGUUCGACCUGGUUCGGAUCCUAGCGCUGCGCUCAGAGCUGGGCAGUUCCAACUAUCCCAAACCUUUGAAAACACUGAUGAUGGCUUUGGAAGACAAAAUGAGAUAUUAUUUGCCUUCGAUAUUAUUCACAUCGAAGAACUCAAGAGCAGCUAGUAAAGGAGUAACAGAGAACAGAACUGCAACGUUAAAGCAAUAAAGACCUGAGGAGUAAGGUUAAGAGCACAAAUACUUUGAGGGAUGGAUGGCAAUGACGAGCUUAAUUUAAAGUCACGGUGGCAGCAGGGAGAGGUGCUCCCGAAGUUCUUAGCUUCUAAGCCCAGACAAGGCUGGGGGGAGGGUAGGUGUCUUACGGGAUUUAUCUUCCUCUUCCAAUCCGUCUGAAGGCUUUCAAAUUCAGCUUUUAGCUGCAAAACCACGUGGGCCCUGCCCGUCACUGUUUACGGUAUGGUAAAUGCCCUUUUCAGAUCAUCAGAUCCUCUUAAAAUAUUGUGACGUGUCGAAGCUCGAGACAGACCAUAUAUGUGUAUAUGUUUAUAUACAGAGACAUGGAAAUACACACAUAAAAAUAUAACCUUUUUCUCUAGAAGGCCUUGCAACAAUUAGCUUCUGUUGCUUUUAUCUUAAAUACCCACAAAUAUACCAGACCCCUUUCUUCUGUGCUUCCUUCCCUCCAUGUCCAUCAGGCCCUUUCCCACUGCAUUCAUAUAGUUAGAUCAGCACGCGCGCGCAUACACACACACACACACACACACACACACACACACCUGUUAUCUACCAGCUUUAGCUUUUUUUAGGUGAGCCUUUGGGAAGUGCCCUGAUCUGAACUGGAUUGUCAAAUAUGUUAAUAUGGGGGCGGGGAGGGGGGAGGGGGAGGAGAAGAUGCUGGCAGCGGACUUUGGGUUUGGGUUUUGGGUCCAUAACAGGAGAUAGAACUAUAGUUUGACAUGCCCCCCCCCCAAAAAAAAUGUCAGACAAGAGAAUGUGAGAGGCCAAAGAAAGGGAAAGGUGGGGGCCAAAAAUGAAAAAAGCUGCUGGACAGGAGAACAUUCUAGACAUAAAAAUUGGAGGAGGGGAGAACUAGAGGUGUUUCGAAUGACAAUGGGGGAGGGAAAGCAGUUGGUUGGGCCUUUGAAAAGGUGCCAGGAACCAAGAGCCAGGGGCAGUGGCAGAGGGGAAGGCCAGGUAGGACAAUUAAAACGGAAAUCUGGCUCCUCACAGCGCAGCUUGAAGCGGGGCUACAGAAUUUGCUGCAGUGGGAGGUGGGGCCAGUCUGGCACAGUCUGUGGGUUUGAAAGGAGCUGGGCGGGUUGGGGAAUGCCAGUCAGCCUUUGUAGUUCUGGGCUUGGGGAGGGGGUGCUGAAUCCUGGGCUUCAGGUCAGAAGCCUGGCUAGGGUGGCUUUGGAGAAAUUUUCCCUCUGCUCCCAAACUCUUAAAAUGCGCUCAUCACUUCACUGGCCUCCAAUCACAGCAUAAACACGUGUCCUGGAGGCUGUCCUCCAGGAGAGGUUCCAGCUCUGGUACCUGUUGGCUCACUGAUGGGGUCCCUCUCCUUUCCGAUUUCCCUAGAUACCCUAAACGGGGCUGAAUACAAUAUCUCUACAUAUGUCCCUUCAUCCUGCCCAAAUGCUUCACAUCUCCCAGACUCCUAGGGUUAAUCCCAGGGACAACCUUGCUUUGAAAGAAAAAAAUGUGGUGAGCCUACUAGAAGAUGUGGAACUCAGAGGCCUCUGUCUGUCCCUGCUUCAGCCAGACCCCAGACAGCCGGCUCAAGGAGAUGGACAUUUACAGAGAAAGAAGCACUGCGUUUCUGCAGGUCUCCCAGUGAGAGACAAAGCACAAUGUCUGAGUUGAGCACAAAGAAGCCACCUUUAAAAAACAUCGACUUAGAGGAAACCUGUGUCCUCAGAUAUCUCCCUCCCUUCCCUGCUAUUUACGGAACCCAGCGUUAUACUUAACACAGCACUGCCUGUUGUCUGCAUGAUUCCGGCCAGCAAACUCGGGUGGAGAUGGCAAUAUACCCACUGUGUGUGUAGAUAGGUAGAGACCCCGAUUUUCAGGAGCUACCUGCUUUCCAGGAUCGAUGUGUAGCCGAGCUCCGAAAACGCGUGCCACCAGAAAUGAUGGGAGACACUCCCCUACUCAACUCAGGGUGUCUUUCAUUUUUAUCUUCUGCCACUUUUUUGUCAUCUGAAUUAUUACUUAUCAUUACCAAGGGGCUGUAGGCUGAUCAGUGGAGUGUGCGUGGAUCUGAUGGACAUUGGAGGAGAAAUACUUCAGAAAGAAGGAAAAUGUCUGCAGUAGAAGUAAAGGGGUAGGAGAAGCCGCAGUGAGUGAUGAGUCCAUUGCAGAAGCCAAGUGGUAAAUCAGUGCAUAUGGCAAAGAUAGUCAAGGAGCAAAGCCUGCCGCUGGAAGGGAAGAGAUUUUUAGCGUUGUCGUCAUCUCAUGCCUGAAUAGAGUGCGUAUUUUAAAUAGGGCUUGGAAUCUCUGCUCUUCGUGCCUCUAAAUGCCGAUUGCAAGGAAGUAUUUGGGGGCUGUUGACUUUCUGUCCGUAAAGAAAACCCAGCAAGGCUCACAGAAUUCUCCACCUGCACGCAUACAGGCAUAGGUGCCCUAAAUGCCCGGUGGGAUGCAGAACCAUUAGGCAGAGGACUGUGCCCUGGUCUCCUCUUCUUCACUCCUUUCUCUCCCCCCCCCCCCACUCCUCCCCUUUCUUUUACCCCUUCUAGAAAACGUGAUACCUGAUCUCUGGGUCUAGCAGGCUGAGGGUUGUUUUGUUGUUGUUGUUGUUGUUGGGUUUUUUUUUUUUUUCUGUAUUCGUAUAAUACAAUGUCUGGCCUUCCCCCUGACCUGCUGGUGUAUUUUUGGUCUCAUUAGCAGUCAGGGAGAUGCCUUAGUGCAUCCGGGGCUGCGAGUCAGGGAUGAGACACUACAACGGAGAGAGCGAGCGAGCGCGAGAGGAUAUUAGAAGGGAGGCUUGUCUCCAAGAAAUGGAAGGAAGUGAGAAAUGACAGGACCACAAGCUUUGUAUGUAGGAGCCUGGCAGGGCGGGGGAGCGGCGGGGAAAGCCAAGUGGUUUCUCAGAAAAGGAGGGAAGCCGUAGAUAGAGCUAACGGUGAUUAGAGGGGGGAUAUUGAUUCCUUAUUCUGCCAGAGAUUUAAGCAGGCAUGCGAGGAAUCUGCACCAUGGUUGGCAAAAGGAGCCUCUGUAACCAGACACUCGGGCUUUCCAGGAGCCCAGGGAGAGAGCUGAGAAGAAAGGGGGCAGUGUGGUCUAGGAAAAUUCAACUUGUCGCUGAUUUGUGCCUGAUGCUUGCUGUCCGUCAGCAGCCUCCCUUACAAUCUUUUUUUCUCUCUCUCUCCCUUUUUUUCUUGCCUUCUCCUUCUUCACUGAAGCCUAGGGGAGCCAGCAAAGAUUAAAUGUGCUUUCUCAAAGGCGGCCACUUCACGCUGCUAUGUCGAAAAGGCCAUUAUUAUUAUUAUUUUUAAUAGUAAAAGAAAAAGGGAGAGAGAGGUUGAGACAGGGAGAGAGAAGCAAGGUAGGUUGAUGACGGACUAGCCUUUCUGAGAGGAAAAGGAAAGUGAGAGAGAAAGGAGAGACCCUGAACUGAACGGAGGAUUGUGCCUGAGAAGAACCUACAGAGCAUGAGCUACAGAGUUACAGUCUCGAGAUUUGGUGUAUCGCUUCCUGCCCCCGCCUCCCUCCCCGCCCCGAUGUCGGUCCUCUGUUGAAACACCUCGCCCAGGCUAGCGCACUGCGAGCUCCCAUUUCCCCCCCUUGCUCGGAAUGGUGUUGCACGAGGGCUGCAGCCCUGCUCCGCUUCCAAUGGGUGAGUUUAAAACGCUAUUCGUAUUUGUACUUCCACGGCCUCCAAGCCCUGUGCCUUGGGUCUUCUCCCUCCGAAAACCUGAUUUUCUAUGAUUUUGCAUGCGGCAUGCUUGCCCAGGGGGAAAGAGAUGCCUCCUAUUUUCUUUACCGUCAUUUGUGCUAGUUGUAAGUUAAAGCUCCAAAAGGACAUUUGAUCCUUCUUUUAGACCUUGGUUUUGAAGACAGGGGCGUUCCUGGGUCUAUGCAUAUGAUUUUCCUUGUAAAACUGGAUGGCCCAAAGCGUCAAAGAGUUUUUUGUUUUGUGUUUUUUUUCUCUGAUAUGCUCGCGAUCGUAUGUUCAGGUACGUAUAUGUGUCCACAGAGAGUGCGUGUGUGCAUAUGAAUGUAUUGUAUUUACGUGGGCUCUAAAUUUUGUGACCUGAGGAAGCUUCGAGAGUGAGGGAAUACCCUGCCACCUGUUUGUGGCCUUUUUGGUCAUGAACCUGGAACAGAACCUGGCUGUGGUUCUUGCUUUGCCUUUGCUUUGUCUCAAGAAAGAACAAUUUUCCUGCGCUCCUCUCAAUCCCUGAGACCCUAACUUGUGAUGUUUACCGUUUAAAUCCACGGGUUAGGCUCUUGGGAGCUGUGAGUCGUGCUUGUGCAUCCUGGAAAUUGGGUGGAACUUCUUUCUUUAAAGCAAAAACAAAAGAAAAGAAAGUUUGUCUGAACUGACGGAGCACAGCUCAGAGGUUUUCAUUGUUAGAUGGGGUCAGGUGAGCAGAAAGUGGCCGCUCUCCUGGAUUUCUGGUGAAGGAGGUAUAGGAGCGUGUUGGCUGCUGUGCGUACGAAUGUGUAUCACUGAUGCCCAAGGCUUGGGGAACUCAUCUACCGUGGUCUGUUUCUUGAGAGCAACACGCAGUACUAUCCGAGCGUAACAAGAACAGCUCAGUACCUGGUGCUUGACCUCAGAACAUAGCAGCUGAAGUCCCAGCAUGCCCCGUGCCUCCAACUUUGAAACUCAACAGUUAAUCUGAAAAUCACGUCCAAUUAAAACGGGCAUGUGGACAUGUUACACACUCAGUCCUCACACGUAUGUGUCACAUAUACGGCCGGACAGUGAGCACACAGACGCAGAUGGGGGCAAACCAGGAGUUUGGGCUAAAAUAGUAGUAGGCUAAAAAUUCGACUCUUGCUACGCUACAGGGAGGAUGAAAUUGAUGGUGUUCAUGAAGAUUACAUCUGUGGUACUUUGCGAGAUUUUAAAAAUAAGAGAGACAGAGCCUGCGUGCUUGGCGUCCGUUUUAAAAUGUUACACGCUGUGAGUUCAAGGGUAAUAGGCAUUGGAAAUAUAUUUUCUGAAUAGAUGAAAGCAAAGAAAUAGCAGCAUGCACACAAUAUGCAAUUAUUGUAUCUUUUAGGAGUAAUCAAGGGGUGGAAAAAUUUAUCAGGAUUUAAAUGUAAUCCAACAAAGUUACUUAUAACACCAAACUGUACCUUUAAAAUAACCUUAAGGUAAUUUGUUAGCAUUACCUCGUCUGCAGUUUUCAGAAAAACGGAACUUUCUGUGACAGAAUAAUUUUAGUGAUUUAGAUCUAUCUCCUAGUUGAAGAAGAGAGACAUUAACUUACCUUUUCUUUGUUGUGAAAAACUCCCAUAUACAAUUUUAUUUAGACAGUUUUGGUAUUCGUGGGCCAACACUUGUCUUGUAUUUUUGGGAAACACCUAAAUCACCCCUGACUUCAAAUGCUUUCUUCUUUUAAAGACUUUGUAUUGGCUGUAACCUCAUUUUAUACGUGUAGUCGAAGAUUAAGGAAACUGUUCUUUUCCUGUGUGUGUGUGUGUGUGUGUGAGUGUGUGUGUGUGUAUGUAUGGGUUUUUUUUUUUUUUUGAGUGUUUAUUGCAAUUUCAGUCAUUGACUCCAAACCGUAGUCAAGAAACCAUUUUGUAUCAGAAAACUGAAUCGAGAAAAUGAAGCGUGCAACAAUUGCACUACGUCUUUUGUUGCGACCUCUCGUGCAGUUGUACUAUUUAAAUAUUACUUUCCAGCCUUGGGAAGCCUGAAUGGGCUUCAGAGAAAAGAGUUAUUUGAUUUUCAAGUCACCUUCGGUUUCUCCACAAUGGAUUAAUGAUUUUUUCCCCAUCGUAAGCUGGUGUGUAUGCAUAGGUAUUUGGAAAUUAUGGAAAGGGAUCUAUUUAACUUAUGGGUCUAUAUUACCACAUGAUGCAUAGCAAAUAUUUGCAAAACAUUUGGUGCUUUACUAAGGCAAAAUCUAUCUGCAGUCAGUUCUAUAAAGAUAGACUCAUGGGCCAAUAAAAACAUGCUGGAUAUCAUUCUUCUAUGAUUUUAAAUGGGAACAGGAUAGUAAUUUAAUACAAGUGAUACAGUUUGUAUUCCAAGGCUCUCUUUUGAUUUUUGGUUUUUUUUUUUUUUUUAACAUGUUUUCAAGUGGAUUGCUCAUGCCCUGAGGUUGCCAUCACAACUGAUCACACGGGCAUUUAGCAAUGCACAACGACGCACAGGAUUUUGAAUUUCAGCAGGGGACUGCUCGAGUGUAAGGGCAGGUUUCUCAACACCCCUUCUUCCUCACCGAGCCCAUCAGCGAAGUUCAGCGAAAUGAAUAACAUAAUUGGUGGUUGGUUCAAUCACUACCAGUCCAGACUAGCCCAGACGCAUCAAUUAGAGAGAGCUGUCUUUUAAAGGGGGAGUGCAACCGAAACAAGCCGGGCAUUAUUGAUACCGAUCUUUAAAAGUGCAAAUCCAGCUUGGCAGAUAAAAAAAAAAAAAUGAGGCGGGGAAUGGGGGGGGGCGGUUUGCGUUGCAGGAAGAAAAGAAAAAGACAUGAAGUGGAGCUUUCGGACACAGAAGGACAGGAAGCUUGAGAGAAAAGGAGCGGAUAAUGAGUGAAAUGCAAUGCAACACCUCGUUGGAACACACAGUUACAAUUCAGUUCACAGGGCAUCCUGGUUCACCAUAUUUUUAACUAGAUUCUCCCCCUCCUCCUUUUUUUAUUCCUUUUUUUUUUUUUUUUUUUUUUGCCUCUGUUUCCAAAGAAAUGCCAGCUCUACACCAAGGCAGUUGGAAAUUUAACAGCUUUAGGAAGCUCUGCUGAGAAGAAGGCCAAGUAAUACGAACCAGCCAAAACUCCUUUUGCAACAUUUUUCCCCAAAAGAAAAACACACAAGAUGUUUAUUUUUGAGUCUCUAAUUCUACCUUUUAAAAAAAAAGAAAAAUCAACUGUACUAACGACCAGGACUCAUUUUAAAUCCUGCACCUGGGAACUAAUUUUAUGGGCAAGACACCUUUAGGUAAACAGCUCAUAGUUUUCUGUUGAAUACAGUAAAAUGAUGAAGAAUGUAACAAAAGGCUUUGGUAAUUUGGUGGGGGGGGGGGGGUUGAUGGAUAAAUACCAGAUGAUUUAGAAAGCGUUAGGAACACAUCAAGCCCCAGGGAAAGAAAAUGUUUGAUUGGUAUUAAUUAAAACACUGCUAAUAUAUUCUAAUAAAAUCAAAUUUAACAUUCUAAACUAAUCCGCUUGGUAUGUCAAAGGAAAAGAAAAGUAUUAUCUUAUUUGCAUCUCUGCCAUCCAAACGCAUUUGCUCAUUCAGCAGAAUUAAUUUUUAUCACCAGCCUGUUUAAUCUCCUCGCAGAUUUAGUCAAACUUAUUCUUUCAAACUAAAAGGGAUCAGGGGAGGGAAUCCAUGGAAGGCAUUGGGAAGACUAGCGACUGUAUUUAGUACUGGCUUUAUAUUUUACCACGUCCUUUCCUCUUCAUUCCCUGUACUGGGGUGUGGAGGAACCCACCAUGCUGCAGGGUGGGGAGGGGGGGUGAGGGAUGGUUAAUUUUCCUCCCUUUCUCUUCUACCUACUGGGUUAUUGGGGAAUUUCAGUUGCCAGAUUAUUUGAGUGGCAUUUAUUUCCACGACCGAUGUUGCUCCGUUGAUUAAGAUCUCAUUUAUUUCUAAUUUCAGAAUCUAUUUUGUUACAAAUUCGUGAUGCGUUGGGGGGGGGGGGGUGAGGAGAAAAGGCUUUUGCACUACAUGCCAAUUUCCUCUUCUCAAUUCUUUGCAACUGUAGUCCUCCUAGGAGAAAGUGGGGAGGUGGAUGUAAAAUUCUAUUUACUAAGAGCUGAGUUCUUUGUUUCCUUUUUAAGUCGGAAUGUCUGCAGCAAAAUGUAUAUUUUCCGAAACGGCGAGUUUUGGGCUCUUGAUUGUUAAACUCUCACAAUGGAUAAAACUGUCCCCAAAUGACAUCACGGCCAAAAUGUUUCUCCUCUCAUUAGCCUCUCAUGACUACGAUAUCCUAUGGAAAGAUGUGCCCAACACAAAAAAAUGAAUGGGCCGUAAAUAUGGAGGGCCGCGUUGGCGUCUUUCAAAAGUGGGGGAUUUUGCCCACUUAUCAAGGGGAUGGAAACUACCAGACGACAGUCCUGAUGAUGCUGCCUUUUUUGCUCCAUUGCCUUUUUCAGUUCUUCAACGCAAAAGAGCAGUCGCAGUUCGGUUUCACAUGUAUUGUUCUAUAAUCCAGGCAAUAAAUGCUAAUUAGUAAUGCUCAAGGAUCCGACCAUUCAGAGUAAUUAUCAUAAUUUACUUCUUCCUUGUUAAAGACAUUCCUUGCUGAUUAAAAAAAAAAAAAAAGAUUAAAUCGUUUUACCAUUGCAUUGCAGUGGAAAUGCAGUGGGGAGAGGUCCAAGGUAUAGUAAUACCAUCCUGGCUGCGUUUGAAGUCGCCAACAUGUGCCUUUUAACUUAUUCCAAAUGGAAUUGCAACUUAAUUGCUAAAAAGAGAUUCAUGUAAAUGCAUAAAGUUUUGCAUGGGCACCAGGAAUGUAUGAUUUUAUUUUACAAACCCCAGGCUCCUCCUUCCCGGCCCACCCCCUUUCUAAAACCACUUACUGAGUAGAACAAAGGAAACUGGUAGCUAUAGAGGCAUCAUUAAGUGUGAACAGCAGUAGCAUGAUAAAGUAUGUGAUAUGACAACAUAUUUCAUUGCACAAAAGUGCAGAUAAUUAAAUAAUUCAAUAGUAACCCUGACUAAUUAGCAGAAAGAUCUUCAAGGAGGAAUCAAGAAAAUGGAUCCAAUCAACUCGAAUAAUACGCUCCACUCUCCAAGAUCACAAAUAUAUAUUUGGUUAUUCGAUAACUGAUUGAUUCAUACAGAAAGAUGAGGACAAAAGCCUGUUCCUCAAAAUGGAGCUUUGAUCUGGCUUCCUUUUUCGGACAGAUUAAUCGUAUGUUCUAUAAGAGCGGAAUUUAACGGAGGGCCCUCUGUUUUCAAUCAAAGAUAUAAUCCGCCAUUCAGUUGCGUAUUUCUCUUUUAUCAGGUGUUCUAAAAAAUCGUCAGCCCCUUAGCUUUUUAUAUCAUUGCCUCAGACUCUACAUGGGAAGCCUCCCCCACGUUUUGUAAUGAGGAUUGUGUUUAAGUUUGUUUCUUCUUGCUGGAAGCAAAUAAGGAUCCUAUGCACAGAAGGCAGAGGAUAAAUAACCAUGCUGAAUAUUAUAUUUGGUGGAAUCUCCCCCCUCCCUUGCCUAAUCUAUCAAGGUAAUAUUCCCAGUUUCAUUGUUCAUUGGUCCUUUCAGGGAGAGCUUCAGCUUUUACUUGAGGGUUGUAAGCACAUUAGAGGAAUAAUUCUCUCUGGAUACUAUGGAGAAGGAGCCACCUGCAAGAUGUUGAUGCUGUUUUUGAAAUCUCAAGUGGAGUCAGCUUUCAAAAAAUUAGAUAUUAGAUACAUCCGAUAUAAUUUGCAAUGUGUAAUUAUACUAAUGUGCAUAUAGUUGUGUGUGGCUUUACAUGUUGCCUACUUGAGAUUCCCGCCUCCCCCCCCCCCUUGGGUAUUGCUCAUCAUUUGAAAUGGCUCCUGACUAGAAUGUUCUUAAAAUCAGCUUUAAAAAAAAAUUCCUCGCUAAUUGAUCUAAGAGAAAAAGGGCUCCACGGUCUGUGUUCCCAUGCAAGAAUGAAUGGAUGUGUGUGACCUUGAUGUUGGAAAGUAAUGGUCUCUAAGAGGGUUAUCAUUGUGGACAUUGGGACUAGUUGUAAAAUAUUUGCUACUCUUUACUGAUUUACUCUUCAUCCAGACUGUGGACAAUUUGUGAAGUGAAUGGAAAAUAUUAGAAUGGUAAAUCUUACUCGUAGGAAAUCCAUUUCCUUUGCUGGGAUGAGAUAAAAUGCCAGGGAAAUGGCUUUAGGCAGAGAUAAUAAUUUGUUGAUUUAAUCAGAGUAACCAAAAUCAUAACGAUAAUAACUUCUUUUCCAUUUUUCCUCCAUUUUGCAUGGCACACGAUGAAUAACUAAAACUCUGCCUUCGGUCAUUUAUGCACUAACCUCAACUUCCCUUUUGGUGUCUCGACGUGGUCUUCCGUUGGACUGAAGACCCCCUCCCCACCAAGGAGCUGACCCCCGAAGAUCUAGCCAUUAAGGAAAAAGCCAGACAGUGCAACAGUGAGUUUGGUCAGCCUGGUGCAAGGCACUUGCUCUACGCUCCAUAGGUGAAGGUGCUCUUGAUGCAAAUUUGGAGAAUCAUUACCAUCAGAUCACGGAGGGACCCUGAGCGAGGCUACGCAAACGUCCCGAUUUAUGCUUAUAUGUUCGGGAGACAAAAAGGAGUCCGAGGGAGGCUCAUGUUGAGAUGAUACAAGCGAUUACUCAUUCCAAUUAAGUAGGCAGAGGCCCCAAAGAAGGCUGAUUUGUUAAACAUUUGACUCAUACUGGACACCAAAAUACGGUGGCUCAUAUUUUUAUACCAUUUGUUCUCAACAGUCAUUUUAAUAAUGGGGCCCAUAUCAUGAAGGAGGCACUCUGCAUGGGCCAUAUCUAUACAACACCAAAGCGAUGCGUUGUUUUACUUCUCGUUUGCUCACAUAUACAAGGACUUGCCCUUAUUAGCUACCCCCAAAACUGUGCCAAGUGUCCUUCUUGGCUCUAAUAGCGUUUUAAUGUAUUCACAAGUGAGUCCUGCACACGUGUGUCAGGGGCUUUGUGACCCCCGUCCCCAACGAUGUUCACAAAACACUGAGUUCUAAAAUACAGACCUCUGUAAGAUACAUUUUUAAUUACUCUUCCGGGAUCAGUUGCUGCAUGCUUGCUCAGCACAGAAAAAUACCUGUUAGCAAUAUUUCAUACAGGGUUAUAUUUCAGGUUUUAGGGAAAAAAAAUAUCGUCCCUGCUAUCUAGAGACCCAUCGUCAACAUAUCCAAAGUGUUUAGGGCAGAUAUGUGGCAGUAUAUCAGUGAUACGUGUUAGUGUAUCUCUUUUGCCGUGCCUAACUCAUUAUGCACUUUCAUUGUGCUGGCAUAAUGAAAAGGCUGACAGUAAGGGCUUUCGUUACAUCAAAAUCCACCUGCAAAGUAUAUUUCAUUCAUAAUAACUUUUGCAGAAUAAGAGAAACACGAAUACAGCUCUUCCCGAAUAUCCUUAUCUGCAAAAUGAGUGGGUUGGAUGAGUUGGUCUCUAAAUGUUUUUGCAGCCUUAAGGAUUUUUGAAGUUGCUCUAAAGUAUAGAAAUAGAAGAACCAUUCCAGGACCCUGGAAUCCGGAGUCUGUUUUUACCAACAGUUGUCCUUUAAAGUUAUAUUUGAUUCCACCUCCAGGUACUUUAUUUACUAACAUCUUUUGCCUUGCUGCUAAAACAGUAAAGUCUGAAGUUCAUUUUCAGGAAGGGCAGAGACAAAAAAGAGGAACAGCUGAAGAAUGAAAAAAGCUACACAGUGGGAGAAGGAAAUUCUUGGUCUGACUUCUAAGCCCAUGUCCUUCAGCAUUAACACAGAAGAAACCCAGACAAGCACCUGUCUUUCUAUUUUAAGACCAUAGUCUUUGGUCCUUCUGCCUUCAUUUAAUUUCUUGCAGCAUGGUUUUGUUUUACCCCAUUGGGUUGACGGCUUUGAGUUUCACAUUUCCCUUUCCAUUCGAUUUAUCUGAAUCAUGUUAAUAUUCCCUUCAAAACCCACAAAGUCACAUUAACACGCCACGUUUCCCAAAUUAAAUCUUAACAUGUUCAGGACCUCCUGAAAAUUGCCCUGCCCUAUUUUCUAAAGCCACUCCGAAUGUAUAAUCUCUCCUUGAAUUAAGCAAGCCUGCUCUUCCUGGCUUCCUGGUCUUUGAAUGAGCUCGCACACUGCUAUUCCUCCCCGCACACUCUGCUCUCCACCACUGGUACCUUUCAGCAACCUUUCUCUUCUUUCUUUCUUUCUUUCUUUCUUUCUUUCUUUCUUUCUUUCUUUCUCUUUCCCUCCCUCCCUCCACCCUUUUUCUCUCUCUCUCCCUUCCUUCCUUCCCUCCUUCCUUCCUUCUUUUCUUCCUCCCUCCCUCCCUUCCUUCCUCCUUCCCUUCCUUCCUCCCUCCCUCCCUCCCUUCCUUCUUCAGUCUCUCCCUUCCUCCCUCCCUUUUGUUCUUCCUUUCCUCCUUUCUUUCAGUGGGCACCGUAUGUCGUGCUCUGAGCCAGGCACUAGAAAUACAACCACAAGAAACUGACAUUAACUCCUAACAAUUUUCAGUGACUUCAUUCACCCCUGCGUUGCUAAGCACUUCUGUAUCCACAAUUAUUUUAUUUUGCCUUUGGUCUUUAGAUUUAUUUGAAUUUGUCCUUAACGUCCUGUGUUCUUUUGUUGUUUUCCUACGUGUCCUAUUUCAGUAAGUUGCCUGUUGGAUAACCCUGAAGCUUUUCUGACGGAGCUUUUUCUCCCAGAGUGAUUAGCGUGGGGUGCUCACACGCUCAAGCAAUGCUGUUACUUGACUGGUCCUUGAGCGACGUGAAGAGCGAGAAAGUGCUACGUCUUUCUGGUGAUGCAGCAUUUCACGUGGAGUUAGAAAUAGCACGGCCCCCAAAGUAUCGUUACGUUUACUUAUUUUUAUCGAAGAGUCAAUGUGAUAACUUUCUGUGACAUGUUCUGUUAUUUUUUUAGUUGUGUCGAUGUUCCUUUCAGCUGGUCCUAUAGCCCCCCUCCUCAGGAAGGUCUCCCCAGGGAAAGGACAAAAACUUCAGAGACACAGCUGCACUGAUGGACGCUCAAGCCAACAAUGGAGUUGAAACAAAGAAAGAGAUCACCUGAAGACACCUUCCCUGCUAAGCAGCACACCCCAAAUGGCGCAGUUGCAGGCAAUAGAACUCUCAGAACAGGAGACCAUGUUUUCAAGAACCAGACAAAAUUUAACAGUGACAUCUAGAUUUCUAAAGAGCCAAGGACUUUCCCUUCCUUGUGUGUAUUCCUCUGUUUGUAUUUAAAUUCAGUGUGACAUUCAUUUCUAAAAUAUUUUCCCGGGAUGAGUAUGCUCGUGAAGGCAUUGAUGUUUUUACAACAGAAAAUUGCACACAGGUGUUCAUGGGGUAAGGAACAAAAUUAGUGCUAUAAGAACAUCGAUUUUUAGCCACACACCGUUUGAUCUUAAGAGUGACCUGAAGGAACAUAAAGUACUUUCGAAAUACCAAAGUAGUCAGAGGCAAUCCGAAGGAUAACAUAGUGGACAUUAUCCCACCUGACACAGACCAGUCAACCAUUCUUUUAAUCCAGCAAAAUAGGUUCGCUGAGACAUGAUCCCUGCCUCUAAAGAGUUUAAAUUUAAUGAGACCGAGAAACACAAACUUUUGAAAAGAUAGUAACCAAUCAGGUGCAUGGAUGUUAAGACCACAGUAAAACUCAAGAGGUAAUAAGCAAAGAGUUCAGAGGAGGUCACCAUAAUCUGGGCAAACCUGGCCUGUUUAGGGAAGAAAGUUUCCAAAGGAGGAAAACACAAGAUGAAUCUUAAAGGAUAGUAAGAUUUAGGGGCACCUGGUUGGCUCCGUUGGUAGAGCAUGCGACUCUUAAUCUCAGGGUUGUGAGUUCAAGCCCCACAUUGGGUGUGGAGCCUACUUACAAAAAAAGGGGGGGAGAGGUAUUAAAUAUUUAGAUGAAUGGAAAGGAAAGAGAGAAUAGAUUGCUUUAAAUGAAUGCAAUGUGAGCAAAGCCAUGGAGGAAGGAAUCUAUGUGGUGAAUAUUGGGAAUUAUGAGUAUACGUGUCUAGUUGACAUUGAAUGCCAGCAUACAUAGACAUAUACGGUAAGGACUUCGCACACACACGUCCCCUCUCCCACCUUGGGUGUCACCUGGAAAUACCAUCUUAUUGUCCACAAAAGCAAGUGGGAGUGAUUGGUGGUAAUAUGAGAACUUACGAUUUUUCUUUUCACUUAAUAACAAUUAGUAUUUAUCGAGGUCUUAAUGUAUGUUAAGCAUUUGACGUAUGAACGCGCUUAAGCCUACAGCUCAGAACAGCCCUGCAAGAUAGGUACGAUUAUCCCUGUUUGGAAGCUAACAGUUAAUGAGAUUAAGUAACUUGCCAAACUGCCACGCACAGGGUCCGCACUCAGAAUUGUGACCGUAAAUCUCAUGAUCUGAAGCACGAAGUCCCAAUAUUGUGGUCAGUGUUGCAGUGUUACCACUUCCGUAUUCCCCGAUAGUUCUUUAUGGUGAACAAAUAGCUAUGACAUUCAGUUAUCCCCUCAAAUUUUUCAGUUUUCUGCCUAAAUGACAUUAGAACGAUCGAAAGACUUUUCAUAGGAGAAAACUGACAGAAUUGGGGAAGAGAGCUUCUCAGCAUUUUAAGCUUUUGUUUGUUUUUUUGCCAGACGUUGAGGAAACGGUUCGCCUUGUUCUGCACAAAAUCUAAAAUUCCUGAGGAUUAAUAAAGGAGGGGGGAAACUCAAAGGUCAUCUGUUGCAACGUGCUUUUCUACAGACGGCAAAUCAAAGUGUGAGUGGCUUACAGGAAGCUCACACAUUUGAGUGUGGCAGAGCUAGGUCCAGAAACCAGGCUGCCCAGUCUCCUCUCUGAGGCUCUUGAACUACCCCACCCUGCCUACAUGAAGUAUGAACUUGAAUUUGAUCAAGGAAAGUGUUGUGUCUGGGUGAUCGGGGGCGGGGGGGGACUGCGCCUAGCAGGUUGUUUCCACUUUGCACCUGUUUUGCUUCCCACCUCAACGUGAAAACUAGCCAGUUAUGAACUGACAUCUGAUGUAGACAUUGUCAAUGGUCCACCCCCAAAGAACACAUAAUGGCUCAAAUUAUGUGCACCAUAUCUCCAAUGCUAUUCUUAAGUUAUUUGGAAUUCUUAGUUCACCUAAACCAAUCGGGUCUUCUAAUGAGCAUUUCCUUACCCGAUUUUAUGCGCAGUAUGUAUUUGUCAGUGCUUCUGCAUGAAUAUUUAUACACGACUGUUUCAAUAGUCCUUAUGUUUUUGAAAAUAUCAAUGGUUAUUUGCUAUUUUAAUCCUCACUUAUCCAUGUAACUAACUCAAGAAUACUUCAGCCAUAAAAAGCUAGAAGUGAGGAAAUCUCACUCUUUUUCACCGGAUCCUUCGCAUUUAAUUGGCAUUUAGUAAUGAUUAAUAAAGUGGUCAGCUGGAUGACACAGUUCCCAAAUGCAAUUCUGUCUCGAAGGAGUCAGUUAAGCUGCAUCUACUUAAGGACACACAUCUAGACAUUUGGAAGCACCUGAAUAUUUGUUGUAAAUUUCCACUUCAAAAUCUGGCAUUGUCAGACCUAGACCUCCUUGUGGCUCAGGCCGUCCUGUUUUCAAAAUGAUGAUUAUUGGCCAUAUCUCACACAGUUCUCAUUAAGUGAGUAGCCAAGCACAAAAUGUGACUUUGUUGCCAUUUUCUGAGACUUUGUCGUAUGUCCCUUGAAUCCCCAAAUAAAAGCAACGUUGCAUCAACUGUGAA